AUGGCGCACUGUUGCUUUUGCUACACCGUCACUACACCUCUACUACCCAUCUCAACAGCCACUUCGCCUUCGCGACCCGUUGUUGCAUACCUGGAGCUGAAGAGCACCCAUUGGUGGAGAACCAGUGCUCCUAGUCCCGACAUUGUCAUGCGUGAGGGGCUCGCCGGUGUUGCACAGGCAGCGCCGCCGCUACCAAGCCACCACCGGUUGUUGCAACAAUUAUUGGCGAAGCUGCGACCUGUCAUGCUCUGUGGCCGCUCAUCAGAAGCAUCCGAUGGUGUGAGGCCGCUCACCGGCAGGAGCGCUAGUGCUGCGAGGCUGCUCGCCAAAAGCAUUUUGAUUCUGUGA
rnacentral:rRNA from 1 species